GUUCAUUCUAUGUAUUGAACCUGGAAUACCAGGAGUCAGCGUGUGCAACAUUGGAACUAAUUCAGAGGUUUUUUGUAAGGAUAAACCCUGAAGAGGGAACAAAAUGUACCUCCAAGGUUGGGACAAGCAGAAAGACUGGGACCACUGUGAAGCGAAAGGUUGUUCACAUUAACCCUCAUGUCACAACUUUCCUCCAGUGGCUUACUGAAUUUGAGUUGAGAACUUCAAAUUAGAUGAUCCAUGGCCCAUGCUUUCUGGACAUUUACACAAGACGAACAACAAUGAAGACAAGCUCUCUCACAAUCUUAGAAGAAGCUGUCUCUGUCCAAUAGGUUUUUUGAGUGCAACAGUUUUGAUU